GCGGGCGAGGGCAGGAGGAAGGGGGCAUCCGAGCCGGCACCGCAGCCUCGCAAGCCGCCGCCCGCAGCCGUCCGCGCAUGUGCCUGCAGGAUUUACAGUCACCCUCCGGGUAUUGACUUUUUCCCCAGCAGCCAGCAACACCGGGAAAGAAGUUGCUUGGCUAGAGACUUCCCUUUGGCAGCUCGGACUCACACUCUUAAAGCCCCAAAUGACUGAACAAGUGCCUACAUUAGAGUGGUGCUGGCACAUCCUGUGGAAAACUAACAUCUUUCUCUUACCGUUUUCCAUUUACAAUGACAUGUUAGCAGAGCAGUGAGAUGGUGAGAAACCUGCUUUAUCAGAUUGUGGAAAAGCUGAAAAGAGAGGCAUGAAGAAAUUCUUCCUCUGUACCUGCCAGGAAGGUGCAUCAUAGCUAAUGCCCAGAUACUGUAAGUCUGUCUUACAAAUAAAAGCAAAAGAAUGUUUUGUUGCAUCAAAACACCGGUGUAGAUAUAAGCUGCCACAUCCAAUCACUGUCAUAUUUUACAGUUGAUUGCCAGAACUGGCAUGAAAAAAGGUAGCUCGCCCGCUAUCCAAAAUGACUAUUAAUAUCCUAAGGAAAUGCUGUAUUGUAUAUAUUGUCCCUACAAUGUAAUCUUGUCACGCAAGUGUGACCACUGUGUGAAUAACUGUACACAAAACUGCUUGAAAGAGCCUGCAGGCAGCAUGUUCUUUUUUCCAACUGCAGUUAUAAGUUUUGGAUCUGGCCCUAAUUGAAAAGGUUGCUAUGGUAAGUUAUAUGUCUUAAUGAAAGAGCAUAGCAUCAAGACAUGAGAUGUGUUAUUUGGAAGAGAACCAGUACUGUAUUAUUCCUCAGGAUGGAAAGAAAAUUAAUGUUUUCUCUGAUCAGAAAGCCAUCAUUUCCAAAGUUACAAAAGAGCAGAUACAUUGAGAGUGCUUAUGCUUGACAAACAAAAAUCCAAUAUAUAUCUGUGUGAGCAUUUCAGAAAAAAAUCUAUAAAAACAUGAUAGUUCUCUCAGAGUUCAUCUGUUUCAUUUCUAUCAUCAGGGAAACAACACUGCAGAGCCAAACACCACACAAAGGAUAAGAAAGGACUGAACCAUCAUGGUAGAAGCUGGCUAUAUCCAUGCAGAGGUUUUGCAAUCGAUCCCUCUCCCAUAUCAGCAUUUCUUAAGGGUCCCAGUAGUAAGAACCCAACUCUGCCCUCCCUUUCAUUUAAUACUAUCAUAAGGUUAUGGAGCUUUUAUGUUAGCCAUAUGGGAAUAGAGGCUGCCUGUGCAGUGAUGUCAGGUGGGGUAGUUCUCUAGUGGUGUGUUGUUCUCUUACUGUGAUAGAUACCUGAGAAGUUAUUUCCUGUUGGAUCCUGACAGAAUGCAACUUCUCUCUUUCUUUUUCUCUCUCCCUUCUACACAUACAAACAUGUAAAAUUUCUCUAAUGCAUCCUUUUCAGUUAAAGAGUUAAUUGUUUCUGAAAACAAAUGGAAAAAAGAACACAUCAAAAUAUGAAAAAAAAAAAAAAAUGGUGCCAAGAAGCAUAAAACCAGGAAAAUAAAUAAAUAAACAAAUAAAUAAAAGUGAAGCCACAUGUAGUAUAAUCCCCUCUAACAAUAUUCUGGGUUCAAAUAACCCAGAGGAGAUUACACUGUUAGAUUUCCCCCUUUGUUAUAAGUGGUCCUUUGUCAGCCUGCAUAGUUAAACAUGGAUGACUUUUUGUGGGAUGUAGGGCCUUUGUUUGCUUUUAGGGGAAGCAACCAAAAGCACACCACAUGAACUUCCUUUCAGUCUAAUGUUCAGUCUGAAAAUAGACAACCAUGUGAAUCCAGAAGGUUUGCAAACCCACUGUGGGUUUGCAAAAGCAAGCAUCUGCCACCUUAGCCCCUGAAAACACAUAUAUCCAU
rnacentral:lncRNA from 1 species